GCGGCGCACGGGUGAGUAACACGUGGGUAAUCUGCCCUAGAGUCCGGAAUAACUCGCCGAAAGGCGCGCUAAUGCCGGAUGAGACCACGGGAGCCUCGGCUCCCGCGGGGAAAGGUGGCCUCUGUAUACAAGCUAUCGCUCUAGGAUGAGCCCGCGGCCCAUCAGCUCGUUGGCGGGGUAAUGGCCCACCAAGGCUACGACGGGUAGCUGGUCUGAGAGGACGAUCAGCCACACUGGAACUGAGACACGGUCCAGACUCCUACGGGAGGCAGCAGUGGGGAAUCUUGCGCAAUGGGCGAAAGCCUGACGCAGCAACGCCGCGUGUGUGAUGAAGGUCUUCGGAUCGUAAAGCACUGUCGCGAGGGACG
rnacentral:rRNA from 1 species